UCUGCGAAACGGCUCGCUAAUACCCACAUAGUGCUCUGAUGCGAGUGAAAUGGAUAUUUUCCGCGCUAGAGAGACAUGCGUCUGUCGUGCAUGAUGUCAUGACGUUGUUGGUGAGGUAAUGCGCUUACCAAGGCGACGAUCAGUAUGCUGGUUUGAGAGGACGAUCAGCACACACUGCGAACUGAGCACACGGUCCAGUACUCCUACGGGAGGCAGCAGUGGGGAAUUUUCCGCAAUGGGCGAAAGCCUGACGGAGCAAUCUCUGCGUGAGGGAUGACUGCCUAUGGGUUGUAAACCUCUUUUUUCAGGGAGGAAUUAAUGACGUUACCUGAAGAAUAAGCAUUGGCUAACUCCGUGCCAGCAGCCGCGGUAAGACGGAGGAUGCAAGUGUUAUCCGGAAUCACUGGGCGUAAAGCGUCUGUAGGUGGUUUAGUAAGUCAACUGUUAAAUCUUGAAGCUUAACUUCAAAAUCGCAGUCGAAACUAUUAGACUAGAGUAUAGUAUGGGUAAAGGGAAUUUCCAGUGGAGCGGUGAAAUGCAGUAUAGAUUGGAAAGAACACCGAUGGCGAAGGCACUUUCUGAGCUAUACUGACACUCAGAGACGAAAGCUAGGGUACAAAUGGAUUAAUCCC
rnacentral:rRNA from 1 species